GACGAACGCUGGCGGCGUGCUUAACACAUGCAAGUCGAACGGAAAGGCCCUGCUUUUGUGGGGUGCUCGAGUGGCGAACGGGUGAGUAACACGUGAGUAACCUGCCCUUGACUUUGGGAUAACUUCAGGAAACUGGGGCUAAUACCGGAUAGGAGCUCCUGCUGCAUGGUGGGGGUUGGAAAUUUUCGGCGGUUGUGGAUGGACUCGCGGCUUAUCAGCUUGUUGGUGGGGUAGUGGCUUACCAAGGCUUUGACGGGUAGCCGGCCGGAGAGGGUGACCGGCAACAUUGGGACUGAGAUACGGCCCAGACUCCUACGGGAGGCAGCAGUGGGGAAUAUUGCACAAUGGGCGGAAGCCUGAUGCAGCAACGCCGCGUGCGGGAUGACGGCCUUCGGGUUGUAAACCGCUUUCGCCUGUGACGAAGCGUGAGUGACGGUAAUGGGUAAAGAAGCACCGGCUAACUACGUG
rnacentral:rRNA from 1 species